GAGGGAGGGAUAUUGAGUAGUAUAAAUAUGAGAAGCCUUCACAACAAAAAAUUGCAUUCUCCAAAAGCUACAGGUAUACUGGUAAUUAUACAGUACGUAUAGAGUUGUCAUUAAUUCUAAAAUUAAUGGCAAUCAAGAAUCGUAAUGUUACUGUAGAUGGCGAACGUGCAAUGACCAUGGGGCAGUUCAGGGCUUGGAUGAAAACAAUCGAUGGUGAUAAAGAUGGCAAGAUAAGCAAGGAUGAACUCUCCGACGCCGUCCGUGGCAACGGAGGAUGGUUUGCUGGUUGGAAGGCCAAGAGGGGGGUAGGGUCAGCUGACUCCAAUGGCAAUGGCUUCGUCGAUGAGACUGAAAUCGGUAACCUAGUGGAGUUUGCUCAAAAGCACCUGGGUAUCAAAAUCAUUUAACCAUUUAAAAUUGCAUAUGCCUUUGUAUUAUUAUUAUUAUCGUGCCUGGCUGGUGUGUAAUAAGAAGAAAAAAUGAAUAUUAUUAUUAUCGUGCCUGCCUGCUGGUGUGUAAUAAGAAGAAAAAAUGAAGAAUUUAUAUCAUUACAAUCUGUUUUCAAACAAGUGAUAUCUUUGUGUAGUGCGCAAUGGACACUUCCUAGUCCAAGACUUGUUGUAUGUGUAAUUUGUGUAUCAAAAUAUUAAGUUUAAGAAAAAAUAUAAAUGUGUUGAACGAGUUUUACCGUAUAAUUUAUUAUUUAAUUGUUGGAUCAGUCUGAAAUUUAAUCUGUAUAUUCUGAAUGUCUAGUUUUAUAAAAUAUCAACUAACUAUUAGUAGCUCAAAUUAGAUUUAAAAGU
rnacentral:lncRNA from 1 species